CAAGGGGCCAUCAAUAGGUUGUGACCUUGACCUUGCACCAGGCUCCAUACGAACAACAUCUCGACUUUGAAAUCUGCGAGGAUUGCCACUGAAUAAAACAAAAUGCUACUACAUCAGAUAUUCCAGUAUAAACGCAAGAGCAGUCAGGGACUGUCUAAAGGCCGACCUUAAAGCAGAUGCCUCAAAACGUGGUGAAGAAACAAUUAUAAAAGCUAUUAGAUUUGAAAAUGGAAAACCUAUUGCUCCUUCCAAGGCAGGUGGGGGCGGGGCUUGAUAGACAACGUCAUCACCAAUCUGAUGUUAAUUGACAAUAAAAAUCUUAAUUCGGAA